rnacentral:rRNA from 1 species
CAGCAGCCGCGGGAAUACAGAGGGUGCGAGCGUUAAUCGGAUUUACUGGGCGUAAAGCGUGCGUAGGCGGCUUCUUAAGUCGGAUGUGAAAUCCCUGAGCUUAACUUAGGAAUUGCAUUCGAUACUGGGAAGCUAGAGUAUGGGAGAGGAUGGUAGAAUUCCAGGUGUAGCGGUGAAAUGCGUAUAGAUCUGGAGGAAUACCGAUGGCGAAGGCAGCCAUCUGGCCUAAUACUGACGCUGAGGUACGAAAGCAUGGGGAGCAAACAGGAUUAGAUACCCCCGUAGUCCCUGUCUCUUAUAC